rnacentral:rRNA from 1 species
AUUGAACGCUGGCGGCAGGCCUAACACAUGCAAGUCGAGCGGUAACAGGGGUAGCUUGCUACCCGCUGACGAGCGGCGGACGGGUGAGUAAUGCAUAGGAAUCUGCCCGAUAGUGGGGGAUAACCUGGGGAAACCCAGGCUAAUACCGCAUACGUCCUACGGGAGAAAGGGGGCUCCGGCUCCCGCUAUCGGAUGAGCCUAUGUCGGAUUAGCUGGUUGGUGAGGUAACGGCUCACCAAGGCGACGAUCCGUAGCUGGUCUGAGAGGAUGAUCAGCCACAUCGGGACUGAGACACGGCCCGAACUCCUACGGGAGGCAGCAGUGGGGAAUAUUGGACAAUGGGGGGAACCCUGAUCCAGCCAUGCCGCGUGUGUGAAGAAGGCCCUCGGGUUGUAAAGCACUUUCAGUGAGGAAGAACGCCUGGUGGUUAAUACCCAUCAGGAAAGACAUCACUCACAGAAGAAGCACCGGCUAACUCCGUGCCAGCAGCCGCGGUAAUACGGAGGGUGCGAGCGUUAAUCGGAAUUACUGGGCGUAAAGCGCGCGUAGGUGGCUUGAUAAGCCGGUUGUGAAAGCCCCGGGCUCAACCUGGGAACGGCAUCCGGAACUGUCUAGCUACAGUGCAGGAGAGUAAGGUUGAAUUCCCGGUGUAUCGGUGAGAUGCGUAGAGAUCGGGAGGAAUACCGUUGGCGAACGCGGCCUUCUGGACUGACACUGACACGUAGGUGCGAAAGCGUGGGUAGCAUACAGGAUAGAUACCCUAGUAGUCCUGAGGCGAAUUCACAGUGGAUUCAAGCUGAUGGAACUGCCGACCUCGGUGAAAAAGACCAGAGACCAAUUUUUUGUCCUUUUAGUAGGAUUAAUUAUGCCGCUUGAGUGUGCUGCUGUUUGUGUGUGGCGUGUGAGGGGUGUUGCGUUGGGAUGAUGUUGUGUGUGUGUGGUGUGUGUGCUUGUGUUGUUUGUCUGUUUGUGUGUGAUGUGUCGAGUGUGAGUGUCUGC